CCAAGAGGGGCUUGGAGGGGCGGAAUUAGCCUCAGCAGAGAGGCUAGAUCAGGCUCUGGCUCCAGGAACCAUUGACAGGAAGUGUGGGGUGUCUGCCCAGCCUCCCACGCAGUGUGGCAGCACCGCUAUACAAAUGUCUUCUAAACAGUCUUCUGUGUCCUGACGUCCUGAAGUAUUUCAUCCUAAAUGUCUCCAAUGUGGAAAUUAGAAGCUGGUGAAAAAUACGAAAUCAGAGCUGAGAAUUAGAGUGCUUGGGAAGUCUACAGAAGGCCGCAGAAACUAACAAACUUCAUGGAGUUAUUGAAGGAAAAGCCUAGAACUUUAAGAAAUACAUCAAGUGUGAGAAGCAAGUGAAUGUGCCUUUUUAUUAGAAAUAAUAUUUCUAACAUUUCACCUUAUCAAGUAUAUUUUAAAGUUGCAAUCUAUGCAGAUGUUGGUUUUCUAACUGCAUUUUUUCUUCUUAAAUACAGAGUCUCAUUAUGUAACUCUGGCUGCACUAGAACUUACUAUGUAGACAAGGUUGGCUUUGAACUCAGAGAUCCUCUUGCUCUGCCUCUUAAGUGCUGGUUUCUGACUGCAAUUUUUGAUUUAAGUACAAUUUAUUUUCAGUUAUCCACUAUCGGGCUUAAGAAGAUCCCCAAACAGUGCUUUAUUGUUGCCCCUUGUUGAAGAAACUCUUCCUGGCUUCUUUUCUGGCUUCCCUGUAUCGUUCAUGUACAAAGUAAUCUUCCAUCACUCGAACUCAGAGAAGUGAGAAUACUGACUGAAGUAGAUGUGAAGUGGGAGCCAUUUACAAGUGAUUCUAUAGCUUAACCUUUCCCACAUUUUUUAUUUUUUGAGACAGAGUCUCAUGUAGCCUAAACUGGUCUCAAAUCCACUAUGUCCCAUAUUUUUUUGAAGAUAAUAAAUUGUGAUGUGUAGAAAAUUUUUAGAUCAA